rnacentral:rRNA from 1 species
GAUGAACGCUGGCGGCGUGCCUAAUACAUGCAAGUCGAGCGAACAGACGAGGAGCUUGCUCCUCUGACGUUAGCGGCGGACGGGUGAGUAACACGUGGAUAACCUACUUAUAAGACUGGGAUAACUUCGGGAAACCGGAGCUAAUACCGGAUAAUAUAUUGAACCGCAUGGUUCAAUAGUGAAAGACGGUUUUGCUGUCACUUAUAGAUGGAUCCGCGCCGCAUUAGCUAGUUGGUAAGGUAACGGCUUACCAAGGCGACGAUGCGUAGCCGACCUGAGAGGGUGAUCGGCCACACUGGAACUGAGACACGGUCCAGACUCCUACGGGAGGCAGCAGUAGGGAAUCUUCCGCAAUGGGCGAAAGCCUGACGGAGCAACGCCGCGUGAGUGAUGAAGGUCUUCGGAUCGUAAAACUCUGUUAUUAGGGAAGAACAAAUGUGUAAGUAACUAUGCACGUCUUGACGGUACCUAAUCAGAAAGCCACGGCUAACUACGU